UCUAGUAACACAAUGAAUGCCUUGACUCUUCUCUUCAAGGCUUGACUGCUCUUGGCUGUCCACCUAGAUUAAAUGUUUACAAUUAACUUAACCUCUACCAGGCACAAAUGGUAGAAGGCCAUGCUGUCCAGCAGGGAGAAGCUGCAAUAUGAAACAGAGAUAACUGAAAGGAGAGCAGUAAUCUUCAGCAAGAUGCAGAGAUCAGUUUCUUGUUAGUUAAUCGUAAGUGCUUAUGACACAUGGUGAUAAGGGGUAUUGAUUUAUCUCCUUGCAAACAGAAAAAGCUGAAAUGGUUGUGCCAAUUUGUUACUUACAUUAUGAGCUGCUGUUAAGAAAAUAUUCAUCUCUUCAAGAUUUGCACACUAGGACUUCAACUGCUGCAGUCCACAGUUGUACAAGCACUGUGCUAGUGGGUCUAAAAUUCCUGCAUGAAAACUUAACCUGAAGAGAACUUCAAGUUGCUCUGUGUUCCCAGUGAUGUAAAAUUGCUGAGGAAAAGAUAAAGAAAACUGUUUUCCUCUAUAAAUUACAGUUAAGGAUUUAUGCUGAGACCUAAACCAAUGUCCACUGAUUCAUGCAAAGAAUUGCUUUUUGCCCUUGGAGAGUUGUUGGUCUUUGUUCUGGCUGUUACCUGCUCUCUGUGUAACUGCUUCUGCAGCUCCUUCUUGUCCCAGGGAGGUUGUGUACCGUGCACUGGGAAGUCCUGGUCCACUUUACCCCUAACACCACUUGUUAGACCAACUGGGGGUAAACUGAUGGCAUCUCAGAACAUGCUUUGAGACAGAGCUUGUCCUCUGCUCCUCCAGCUGUGUUAUUUCAGUGCUGCAGGUCCUCAGGAGGAGUUAUAAGGAACAGUGCUGUUGUACCAUUAAUCAGUAGUGUCUGCACUUCUAUGUAUACAUAUAUGACUUGACAGUCCACUGUAUACCAUUCUGCAAGUGAGUGAUUGUUUUGCCACCUUAGCUUUAUACUGAUGGUGCAAAGCAGACAGAAUCUAUACCACAAGCCAGACAGCACUUAAUGUAUUGCCAUUGGUGUCUAAACCAUGAUUGAAACCAGUCUUUAACAGAAAUAGAUACUCAAAGACAUUACAGGGGAAGGGGCAGGAAGUUUUGCUGCCAUGGGACUUAAAAAGCUGUGUCAAUUGGGUAUUUUCUUUCCUGCUCUCUGUUCAGUGGUAAGACUCCUCUUACAUACUGCUUUUCAGAGUUACUUGUUUUUUAUUCCAAACAUCUCCUGCAUUUCCUGUUGACUGGGGUGUCUCAACUGUUCUGCCAGAUUCAAGCUCUAAAUCCUGUACUUAAAAAACUGGGAGAUCAGAGAAAGUAACAAUAAAAUGAUAAUCAAAAUUUAGACUUGAUUCCACUUAAGAAAAAGCUCAGCAAGUUGCAGAAAAAUCCUGAAGUUUUGUUUUGCUCCGGUCUUAACCUCUCAUCAUGUUUUGCACAUCUCUACGUCCUGAAACUCAUCAGAAUAUUUCAUCAGUACCAUCUAAUGCUGUGGAAUUGUAAUGGCCUAUCAGAUAGCUGCAACUCUCUUCGGAGAUCACUUGUCUCCUCAUUACUAAGGUGUCUUUGAAUACUGCAGAAACUGAGUGGCUUCUUGCUGCAGAAUAGAAUAUGGAAAGUACUGAAAGCUGUCUGUGGUGUGAUAUGGCUGAGAUCCAUGCACAAACGUACAGGAAGGAUUGCUUCUCCUGGAAGGUUGCUUUACCUAGCUCCACUGUUACUAUUCAUAUGCACAUAAGACUUGAAAAUUCAAGAUGUACAGCUGUUCUUUGCUUCUGAAACCAAGAGACUGCAGGAGAACAUUUGUGAGAAGGUAGCUGCUUGCAGGUAAAUAUUUUCUUCAGCAGAACCUAAGGAAAGUGAUAUUUAUUUACUUUGACUCCAGUUCUUCUCUAUGUGCGGGGUCAGGCCUCUAGAGCAGUACUAAUUGAAAGGCGGAAAGUUCA